rnacentral:rRNA from 1 species
AUACAGAGGGUGCAAGCGUUAAUCGGAAUUACUGGGCGUAAAGCGCGCGUAGGUGGGUGUUUAAGUCGGAUGUGAAAGCCCUGGACUCAACCCCGGAACUGCACCCGAAACUAUAUGGCUAGAGUCCCGGAGGGGGUGGCGGAAUUUCCGGUGUAGAGGUGAAAUUCGUAGAUAUCGGAAGGAACACCAGUGGCGAAGGCGGCCACCUGGACGGUGACUGACGCUGAGAUGCGAAAGCGUGGGGAGCAAACAGGAUUAGAAACCCCGGUAGUCC